rnacentral:rRNA from 1 species
CCGCGGUAAUACGGAGGGAGCUAGCGUUGUUCGGAAUUACUGGGCGUAAAGCGUGCGUAGGCGGCUAUUCAAGUCAGAGGUGAAAGCCUGGAGCUCAACUCCAGAACUGCCUUUGAAACUAGAUAGCUAGAAUCUUGGAGAGGUGAGUGGAAUUCCGAGUGUAGAGGUGAAAUUCGUAGAUAUUCGGAAGAACACCAGUGGCGAAGGCGACUCACUGGACAAGUAUUGACGCUGAGGUACGAAAGCGUGG